rnacentral:rRNA from 1 species
UACGGAGGGUGCAAGCAUUAAUCGGAAUUAUUGGGCGUAAAGGGCGCGUAGGCGGAUUUGUAAGUCAGAUGUGAAAUACCGAGGCUUAACUUCGGUGCUGCAUUUGAAACUACAAAUCUAGAGGGUUGACGGAGAAAACGGGAUUCCACAUGUAGCGGUGAAAUGCGUGGAUAUGUGGAAGAACACCGGUGGCGAAGGCGGUUUUCUAGUUAAUACCUGACGCUGAGGCGCGAGAGCAAGGGGAGCAAACAGG